AUACUCCACUUCCACCGUGACACACUUCUUCUAACAAGGCCAUACCCACUCCAACAAGGCCAAACCUCCGAAUAGUGCCACUCCCUGGGCCAAGCACAUUCAAACCACCACAUUUUCAUACCCUGGGCCCCAUAUAGUCUUGUUUAAACAUGGGGACCAAUACCUAAACAUAGCAUAAUGCAACAGUAUUUGCUUCAUUUCAUAACCCUUAGGUUUGUAUUAAAAUAUGUUUGUUGGGUGGUAUUGAUUACUUAGUGAGAAAGCUCUAGAAAGGUUACAUACAUAAAUAUAAUACAAAGAUUAUAUUUGCAGCACACCUUUUGAACAUUUAAAUGUACACUUUAGACAAAGUAAUAGAACUAAGAAAAUUUAUGUACCCAGUACAAUAUAUUUUACUCAGAUAAAGCCCAAUUUUGGUCCCAGAUAAUGCAAGAUAAUGAUUAUGUCUCUGGGAUUGCAGUCUUGACUGCAGUGUCUCUUUUAUUACUAUGGUCUCUGUCAGAGAGGACACACCAAAUGUCAUGUAAAAGACAGAGUUAAAAAGAAAAAGUAGAGCACAUUCUCAUGAUAUUAGAAUGGACAGAAUGGGCUUAUCGACAUUUUAGGGAGAAUUUUUGCUAAUUCUGAAGUCUCUAAAAUCAGCAACAUUUCCCAAAGAGACUUCUCAUGUCCAGGUGAUUGACAGGGCCAUUGGAAUCUACUACUCUAAGAAGGAACAGUUGCAAGUUUUUGUUCUUUACCAGAAUGCCUCAUGCUUUUAAUAUAUAAUACGGUUGUAAGAUUUAGCACCCCUGGAAUCAGGUUUAGAUAGUCAUAUAUUAAUAAUCUAUGGGGCAGUUGAGUAUAUCAUUUCUAUUCCUGUAGUCAAAGGUAUCAUUUAUAUUUCAUUCUUCUGACUAGUAAUUGUCACCCAAUAGUGUUAGUUGUUGCCUUUUCAUGGUCUUGAUUAUGAUAGAGGUUAAAUGGAAUUCCAGUAGUCUCUAAGCCUCAUCAAUGUCUAACCAGCUACCUAAGGCUGAGUAUAUACAGGCCAUAUCACAAAGAACAGAGCCCAACACUGAUUAGUUAUAUGUCUUUCUCUUCCCUCUAGAUCAUAACUUCAAAAAAGAAAAAAUACUCUACAGGAAACACAAAUGAUAUACCACAGCUGCACCCAGCAGUCAGUAAUUUGUAGACAGUUCUUUCAAAUUAAGCAUUUAAGAUUUAUUUUUUUUUAAUUAAACGUGUGUGUGUGUGAAGGGUAGAGUGUGCGCGUGAGUGCAAGUGCCUGCAUAAACCAGGUUUCCCCUGGAUUUGGAGUUACAGAAGGGAGUUUAUAAACUCCCAACCUGGGUGCUAGAAACCAAACUCAGGUCUUCUGUUAGAGCAGUAAGAACUCUUAACUACUAAACCAUCUGUCAGUGAGAACUCAGAUCUCUGGAACUUUAUCUGUGAAACUAUAGAAUGCAGCUCAGUUGUUUCAGCUAAUCAUUUGUUAAUAGUGGCAACAAUGCCCUAACUGAAUUCUAUGGCACCAUGCACUAUGUAUGCCUAUUCCCCAAGUUUAAUAUCCAUCACAACUUUCCUUACAAAGCUCUAAAGUAUUUGUUAACAACAGUUCAAUAAUAAUAUUUUAAGGUCAGAUGAAUCUAAUUUCCUCUUACUCUGGGAAAGAUAAAGCCACAUAAAAUUGAAUCAGACUCCCUGGAUUCCUAUAUGGUUGUUUCCAAUCUGCAUUUAGUGGCUUCCAAAGUUCAAUUUAAGAACAGAGCACUUGCUGUGGCAAUAUCAUCCAUCACCUUGUCCUCUGGGUAAAGAGUAGACAUUGUGCUUCUACCUCAGAUAACAUUAUUUGAAAAGCUCAGACUCAUGGACUUGUACUUCAGUACAAGGAAAAACCUCUACUACUCAAGACCUUUUUUUUUUCUUUUUCUUUUUCUUUUUUUACCAACUUUAACUAUUUGCUACAUUUCAGAGUUAGCAAGUUUCAAAGCUGUGCAGGUAGGACCGUAGUCUAUCAUAUAAAGCUAGGUAAGGUUUGGGAAGCACAUAAUUCUAUAUGCUACAAAUAGAUAAAAUGGAAAUGUCAAAUUAAGUUUCAUAUUCUAUAAUUCUUAAUAUCUCUAAAAAUAUCUUAUUACCAAGGAUUCAGAUACAGUGCAUUUCUCAGUAGUAGAAAGUUUCAGGAAGAGGAGAAAGAAUUGCAGGAAAGGAUAAUUAAGUGAGAGGAGGAAAAAUAAAGAAUAAUCAACAAAUAGUGUAUGCCUUUUACUAUUGUGAAUGAGGACAGCUUGUAGCAGAUAAUUAUUUAUAGUUGGUUUUCUCCAAUUAUCAGUGCAGAAUCCUUUAUAAAUGGGUAACACUGUGUAUGAUGAAAAUUGAGACUAUUGCCUGUUACCCUGUACCAACAUAGCAUCACUACACGUUGAUCAGGGUCAAGAUUCAGUUUGUGUGCUAGUGUGCAUAUUACUCCAGAGCCUCGUGAGUUAUAUACGCAUGCUCCACCAAGCUACCCCCAUGGGUUCCAUGGUUCAGGAUUUUUAACAAACACCAAAAGUGGGGCUUAGUCUCACGAAAAUUAAACAUCUGUUAAUAUCUAAACCUAAUUUAAAAUGUUGACCCUUGGCUGGUUUUAUUUAUUUAUUUACAGUAGCUUUUAAAAAUAUGUGCAUGUUAAUAAUUUACAUUUAGGGUUCACAAAACAGAUGUAUUUCAGCAAACAUCAAAAUCUAACAAAAGAAAAAAAAAACUUCUAUGGAGAAUACAUUGAAUAGAAAUCAAUGGCAGGAUUUGGACCAUUCAUUGCUGUUAGAAAUGACAGCAGGAGAGGGGGACAUUAAGACACAAAAGGUUUUAUUUAGCACUUUUAACAUUACUUGAAUGGUGAUUGUAAUAAAUGCAUAAGUAAAAAUAAGACUAACAUGUGCAGACACAGUUUCUUAAUAACUGAUACUGUCAGAUUUUAAGAAUCCAGAAACUAAUAACUUUUUACAUACUUGCAUAUUCCUAUAAAGUGAUUGACAUUAAAACAGUAUUAUUAUACCAGGCAGAUAUUGUAAACAUAAUAUAAACAGUAGAUAAAAGUAGUUGACUCAAAUGUCUAUCUAUUUCCAUAAAUUAGAUAAAACAUAUUUAGGGCCGUGCUUUAAUUAAGACUUUUGAGAUUAUACUUGUAUUUAUAUACUUUUUCUUAUUUGGGGGAAAAAUAGUGGAGGAAAGUAACAGAUAAAUUGAAUCCCACAGAUCAUUUGCUAAUUUUAUAUUUCCAUAUUAAAAUAAUAUUGCAAGCACAAAAAUUAUUAAUUAAUGAAAAAUAGAUUUUUUUAUGAAGCUGAUUUUUGACUUGUGUGUUUUAAUCUAUGUUAACACUAUUUUCAUCCUUUUUUUUUCCCCUUCAGUGUUUGAGGUUGAAUUGUAACACAAGUAGAUUAUGCAAAUCAAGACAGUUCUUUCCCAAAGCCCUGAAAAUUUAAUGUCAGAAAAUACAUAUUUUAGCAUACAUUAUUUCAUGAAAAGUUCAUUUUUAUUUUUCUGCACAAGUGUUGUAAGCUUUGGAGGAAAUCUUAUGGUCUCUGGUUAAGCCAUGUGCUUCUGAGCAUUUAACUUCCUUGCAGUCAGCCUACGAUGGUAAGAUGUGCUUUCUGCCUGGCAUUGUACCAAUCUUGUUUCCUGACUGUGGCUUCUUUAUCAGAGUCCAGUGCUGAUACUGUUAUCAUUUAUGUAUGAACAGAAACGGGAAACUGCCCGGUUGAUGGUUGACAAGUGGUCUAGAACCACCUUACUCCUGUCCAGUAAUUAUCAUGAUUUCUUUGAUGGUAGGUUAUUUCAAAUCCUUAGAGGAACAGAAUGACUUUGUCUGUAAUUAAAAAUAUAACAUGAAUGCUUCUGAAAAUAACCCCCAUCAUUGUUGUCAUUACUUCCGCCAAGUUUAAGAAUGUUUAAGUUGGUCAGUAUCAGCAAGGGAGUCAUCUUUGGCAAGUUUUUGUUAGCAAGACCUAGCAUGAAGCAGAAACUUU
rnacentral:lncRNA from 1 species